rnacentral:rRNA from 1 species
UACGGGGGGGGGCAAGCGUUGUUCGGAAUUACUGGGCGUAAAGGGCUCGUAGGUGGCCAACUAAGUCAGACGUGAAAUCCCUCGGCUUAACCGGGGAACUGCGUCUGAUACUGGAUGGCUUGAGUGUGGGAGAGGGAUGCGGAAUUCCAGGUGUAGCGGUGAAAUGCGUAGAUAUCUGGAGGAACACCGGUGGCGAAGGCGGCAUCCUGGACCAUUACUGACACUGAAUAGCGAAAGCCAGGGGAGCAAACGGG